UCGGCUUAGAGUUUGAUCAUGGCUCAGGACGAACGCUGGCGGCAUGCCUAAUACAUGCAAGUCGAACGAAGGAGCUUGCUCCUGAGUGGCGGACGGGUGAGUAACACGUGGGUAACCUGCCCAAAAGUGGGGGAUAACAUCUGGAAACAGGUGCUAAUACCGCAUAACAACUACUUCACAUGAUCGUAGCUGAAAGAUGUCUGUAUCGCUUUUGGAUGGACCCGCGGCGUAUUAGCUAGUUGGUGAGGUAACGGCUCACCAAGGCAAUGAUACGUAGCCGACCUGAGAGGGUAAUCGGCCACAUUGGGACUGAGACACGGCCCAAACUCCUACGGGAGGCAGCAGUAGGGAAUCUUCCACAAUGGGCGAAAGCCUGAUGGAGCAAUGCCGCGUGAGUGAAGAAGGUUUUCGGAUCGUAAAACUCUGUUGUUGAAGAAGAACAUGCGUGAGGUAAUUCACGUACUGACGGUAUUCAACCAGAAAGCCACGGCUAACUACGUGCCAGCAGCCGCGGUAAUACGUAGGUGGCAAGCGUUGUCCGGAUUUAUUGGGCGUAAAGAGAAUGUAGGCGGUUUAUUAAGUUUGAAGUGAAAGCCCUCGGCUCAACCGAGGAAGUGCUUCGAAAACUGGUAAACUUGAGUGCAGAAGAGGAAAGUGGAACUCCAUGUGUAGCGGUGGAAUGCGUAGAUAUAUGGAAGAACACA
rnacentral:rRNA from 1 species